rnacentral:rRNA from 1 species
UGGGGAAUAUUGGACAAUGGUCGAAAGCCUGAUCCAGCCAUGCCGCGUGUGUGAAGAAGGUCUUCGGAUUGUCAAGCACUUUAAGUUGGGAGGAAGGGCAGUAAGCGAAUACCUUGCUGUUUUGACGUUACCGACAGAAUAAGCACCGGCUAACUCUGUGCCAGCAGCCGCGGUAAUACAGAGGGUGCAAGCGUUAAUCGGAAUUACUGGGCGUAAAGCGCGCGUAGGUGGUUCGUUAAGUUGAAUGUGAAAGCCCCGGGCUCAACCUGGGAACUGCAUCCAAAACUGGCGAGCUAGAGUAUGGCAGAGGGUGGUGGAAGUGCCUGUGUAGCGGUGAAAUGCGUAGAUAUAGGAAGGAACACCAGUGGCGAAGGCGACCACCUGGGCUCAUACUGACACUGAGGUGCGAAAGCGUGGGGAGCAAACAGG